AAAAACACGCUGUCUGCUUUACCUCUCUUCUCUUUUCCUCAAUUGGCGACGUCCAAGGGAGUACACACGACAAGCAAGGUGAGCCUUGUUUAAGUGAAUCCCUUUUUUUACGGAAUCGUUGUAUGAAUUCAAUGACAUUGGUUUUCAUUAUUUGAGUGACAUGGUUGUUCACAUCACAUCCCAGUGAGGAAGUUUGUGAGUUUUCUUGGAGAUAGGAUAUGGAGGUUUUAGGGUUAAUUUAUUUUGAGCAUUGUGGAAUAAAAAAGAUUGUUAUGAUAGCCUGAUCCAACAUGAUCGGAUAUGUAUUGCAAUUUUAUGGUUUGCUGGAUUCACACUCUUCCCAUGUAUAUUGUUCGAAGAAGGACACAACCGUUUUGCAUAUAUUAGAAGAGAUAAAUAUACAAACAAUCAUGUGUCUCAGAAUAAAAAAAAGGAAGCCUUCUCAAAUAGUGCUUCCUUAUAGUCAGAUGGCAAGGGUACACAUGCAAGUAAAAGACAGCGAUUGUUUAGUCAAGAUUAGGAUGGAUAGGAAUGCGUUUGGAUAGAAGGUCGGUUUACAUUGAAGAACAAGUGGCCAUGUUCCACUGGAUUUCAGUUCUGGCGUUCAAGCCAAACAGUUAGUACUUGGGGCUAUCUUAAAGAUGCACAGUUUGUUCAUUGUGAAGCCUCACCCAAUUUCCGAACACUGCAUCCACUGGAGAUGGAAUUGUUCCAACACCUCACUGUCUUGCUCCCUUACUAUGCAUCUUACUCUGUUUAUUUUCACAUUUAUUAAGUGAAUAUCUUUUCUUUUCUUUUCUUUUAUUUUUGUUUUCAAGAAUUAGGAUACCGAGAAUUUGAUGUUGUAUUUUUAUAAAUUGGAAAAAAAUCCUUGAGCUAGAAUGCUCGAAGUGAAAAUUAUUCUAAUUACGUCUAAUCGAAAUUUGUAUGGUUAGUUAAUGAUAUUAUUGCAAUAAAGUAGUAUUGUGACAUCCCAA